AUCCCAGUUAAAUCUUGCAGCUGUGAUUCGCGAGUAAGGUCGACACAGAGAAUCCCAGUUAAAUCCAAGCAUUCCGGACAAAACCCAGUCCAAAAGGCGCAGAAAGAAAGAAACAAAGCGUGAAGGAAUUCCAAUUUCUUUCGGAGGAGAGAGGAAAGCACUCUAUUCCUCCUCCAAAGGCAGAAUAUAUCACUCUUUUUAUUCUUAUCCCUUUCCCUUGGAGGGGAACCUACCGAGCCAGCCUAAAGCAAUAGCUCGAGCUCACACCUACCUAGUUUUCGAGGGGAGUACUUGUUUUUCUUAGUUCCUGCUUUGCGUUUGCGGUGGGGUGUUUAAAGCGCCGGUAACAUGUUCUUAUUUUGGAGUACCUUUCUAGAGGGUUUGGUGUGGUGUUUGAAUUGAAAUUCCUCUCCUCACGCCUUUAAGUUCUCCAUGAUCACCACCUCCUCAAUCCUUGUCCCCUCACCUCUCUCUCUCUCUCUCUCUCUCUCUCUCUCUUCCCUCGGCACCUGCCCAAUUCUCCCUAAGACAAGGUCAUGUUAUGAGGUUUAACAAGAAGUGGGGUUUGUUUGGCUUAAGUGGGAUGGAAGAAGAGCUGUAGAAGUGAUUUGGCGGCCACACCUCAUCAGAGCUAAAGAAGAAAAGGUUUUGGCUACUAAAAUCUCUCUCACAUCUUGAUAUUCUAAUUUGUAGAGGAUCUAUGUAUCCAUGCUUGUGAUUUUAGCUUAAAAAAUAAACAUGGUAUUAUCAUUUAUUACUUAUUGGUAUAUUAGUUUUGAGAACAAUGACCGACAGAUAAGUUAUCGAUUUAGAUAUAUGAGUUUGAUUGGUGCAAUAUAGCGUUGCCUAAUAAUUGUCUUGGUAUCUUGGCUUGUUUAUAUAUUUCAACCAGCUUCUCUUUGAGCUAGUGAAGGUCUUCCAUCGUUCAAGAAAAAGAAAAAAAACAAAGAGAUCUAUGUUUCUUGAUGUUAAUUAAUGAUGCACCAGCAAUGAUGUUUAUGGAAAA